rnacentral:piRNA from 1 species
UCCUCCUGUGUGUGGUCCAUGGCUGA